AUUGAACGCUGGCGGAAUGCUUUACACAUGCAAGUCGAGCGGCAGCGCGGGGCAACCUGGCGGCGAGCGGCGAACGGGUGAGUAAUGCAUCGGAACAUGUCCAUGUCGUGGGGGAUAGCCCGGCGAAAGCCGGAUUAAUACCGCAUACGCCCGAGAGGGGAAAGCAGGGGACCGCAAGGCCUUGCGCGAUUGGGUUGGCCGAUGUCCGAUUAGCUUGUUGGUGAGGUAAAGGCUUACCAAGGCGAUGAUCGGUAGCUGGUCUGAGAGGAUGAUCAGCCACACUGGGACUGAGACACGGCCCAGACUCCUACGGGAGGCAGCAGUGGGGAAUUUUGGACAAUGGGGGCAACCCUGAUCCAGCCAUUCCGCGUGAGUGAAGAAGGCC
rnacentral:rRNA from 1 species